AACCGUUCAGGAAUCCAAGAUUGAGAUUGUUUGUCUAUGUAAAAUAUCUCCAAUAGCUCCCACGCAGCUUUCAGACACACUGGCGCUGCAAUUUCAUUUACUACCGACUUGGCAUCUUCGAUAAUUGAUUUAGGAGGCGGUUUUUGAUCACUGAGAAGAGAACUUAUCUCUUUGCUGUACUCUAUGACAUGCUCCCACCACUCUGCCUUGUAAGGAGGGAUAUCCAACGACAUUCUCGAUGCUGCAGACAAAGAAUGUUUCCGGCUCUGAAGAAGAGCGAAAGGAGUCACUGAACUGUAGGCCAUUCUCCUCCAUCUUGCAGCAUCAACUUCCUCAUCUCCACUGUUACUAAGCUUCACUUCCACCACUCUUCCGCCAGCCUCGCCUUCUCCGUCCGCCGUCUCCGACUGAGGCUUCCGGAAAACUGAUACUCGGAGAGUAUUUCCACACGCCCAUGAAAAGGAGAGUCGAUGAAUUGGGGAUUUGAGACCAUGACGGAGAGGGUAGUUGACCACGGGUUGAUUUUCUGUCUCCAGCGAGACUGGAACCAUUGCAAGGUCAUCGGGUUCUGACGUCAGCCCUGGCAUUUCGCCGGAUUGUCGCGGAUGCUACAGAAAAUGUUUUUCUUGUGACUAUCUAGGGUUUUAAGAAGGGGUUUAUGGCAAA
rnacentral:misc_RNA from 1 species